CGGUUAAAAAGCUCGUAGUUGGAUUUCUGUUGAGGAUGGGCGGUCCGCACUUUGUGCUGGUAUUUGUUACAGCCUCGGCAUCCUCUUGAAGAACGGUUCUGUGAUUUAUUUCGUGGUCCGGAAUUCAAGACUUUUACUUUGAGGAAAUUAGAGUGUUCACGGCAAGCAAUCGCUUUGAAUACAUUAGCAUGGAAUAAUAAUAUAGGACCUUGGUACUAUUUUGUUGGUUUCUAGAACUAAGGUAAUGAUUAAUAGGGAUAAUUGGGGGCAUUCGUAUUAACGCGUCAGAGGUGGAAUUCUUGGAUUGCGUUACGACGAACUACUGCGAAAGCAUUUGCCAAGGAUGUUUUCAUUGAUCAAGAACGAAAGUAUGGGGAUCGAAGACGAUUAGAUACCGUCGUAGUCUAUACCAUAAACUAUGCCAACUAGAGAUUGGUGGUCGUAUUUAUAUGACUCCAUCAGCACCUUAUGAGAAAUCAAAGUCUUUGGGUUCCGGGGGGAGUAUGGUCGCAAGGCUGAAACUUAAAGGAAUUGACGGAAGGGCACCACCAGGAGUGGAGCCUGCGGCUUAAUUUGACUCAACAUGGGAAAACUUACCAGGU
rnacentral:rRNA from 1 species